rnacentral:rRNA from 1 species
AUGGAAGACCUGGACAACUUCUUUGGUCAGCUUGACCUAGAAGAUGAGGUGUUCGAUGACCUAGUAAUCAAUGAAGUGGUCCCGGAGAUCAAUGAGCGUGUCCGCUGGAUGGCUCUUGCCCGUGUUCAUACGGACGAGUCCUUCAACCACUCGGCAUUCUUCAAGGACAUGAGGGCGGCGUGGAACGCGGCACAACCGGUGAGGUUCAGGCCAGUCGGGGCCAAUUUGUUCAUUGUGCAAGCAUCUUGUUUGGGCAAUUGGGAAAGAAUCAUGCAUCAAGGCCCUUGGUUAUUCAGAUUCUGGGCAGUGUUUCUCCAUCCUUAUGAUGGUUUGAGCAGAGCCGAGGACACACAGAUUGUACACAUGCCAAUCUGGCUA